UUACCAAACUGUUGCCUCGGCGGGGUCACGCCCCGGGUGCGUCGCAGCCCCGGAACCAGGCGCCCGCCGGAGGAACCAACCAAACUCUUUCUGUAGUCCCCUCGCGGACGUAUUUCUUACAGCUCUGAGCAAAAAUUCAAAAUGAAUCAAAACUUUCAACAACGGAUCUCUUGGUUCUGGCAUCGAUGAAGAACGCAGCGAAAUGCGAUAAGUAAUGUGAAUUGCAGAAUUCAGUGAAUCAUCGAAUCUUUGAACGCACAUUGCGCCCGCCAGUAUUCUGGCGGGCAUGCCUGUCCGAGCGUCAUUUCAACCCUCGAACCCCUCCGGGGGAUCGGCGUUGGGGAUCGGGACCCCUCACACGGGUGCCGGCCCCUAAAUACAGUGGCGGUCUCGCCGCAGCCUCUCCUGCGCAGUAGUUUGCACAACUCGCACCGGGAGCGCGGCGCGUCCACGUCCGUAAAACACCCAACUUUCUGAAAUGUUGACCUCGGAUCAGGUAGGAAUACCCGCUGAACUUAAGCAUAUCAAUAAGCGGAGGAAA
rnacentral:rRNA from 1 species